GCCAGAGUGGUGAAAUUGGUAGACACAGGGGACUCAAAAUCCCCCGCCCUUAAAAGCGUGCCGGUUCGAAUCCGGCCUCUGGUACCA
rnacentral:tRNA from 1 species